rnacentral:rRNA from 1 species
UCUACGGGAGGCAGCAGUGGGGAAUAUUGCACAAUGGGGGGAACCCUGAUGCAGCGAUGCCGCGUGAGUGAAGGAGUAUUUCGGUAUGUAAAGCCCUAUCAGCAGGGAAGAACAAUGACGGUACCUGAGUAAGAAGCACCGGCUAAAUACGUGCCAGCAGCCGCGGUAAUACGUAUGGUGCAAGCGUUAUCCGGAUUUACUGGGUGUAAAGGGAGCGUAGGCGGCGAGGUAAGCCUGGUGUGAAAGCCCGCGGCCCAACCGCGGGACUGCUUUGGAAACUGGCGUGCUGGAGUGCCGGAGGGGUAUGCGGAAUGCGUGGUGUAGCGGUGAAAUGCGUAGAUAUUAGGAGGAACACCAGUGGCGAAGGCGGCUUACUGGACGGUAACUGACGCUGAGGCUCGAAAGCGUGGGGAGCAAACAGGAUUAGAUACCCUAGUAGUC